UACGGAGGGUGCAAGCGUUAUCCGGAUUCACUGGGUUUAAAGGGUGCGUAGGAGGGCAGGUAAGUCAGUGGUGAAAUCUCCAAGCUUAACUUGGAAACUGCCGUUGAUACUAUCUGUCUUGAAUACCGUGGAGGUGAGCGGAAUAUGUCAUGUAGCGGUGAAAUGCUUGGAUAUGACAUAGAACACCAAUUGCGAAGGCAGCUCGCUACACGAAUAUUGACUCUGAGGCACGAAAGCGUGGGGAUCAAACAGG
rnacentral:rRNA from 1 species